AUUGAACGCUGGCGGCAUGCCUUACACAUGCAAGUCGAACGGUAACAGGUCUUCGGAUGCUGACGAGUGGCGAACGGAUGAGUAAUACAUCGGAACGUGCCUAGUAGUGGGGGAUAACUACUCGAAAGAGUGGCUAAUACCGCAUGAGAUCUACGGAUGAAAGCAGGGGAUCGCAAGACCUUGUGCUACUAGAGCGGCCGAUGGCAGAUUAGGUAGUUGGUGGGAUAAAAGCUUACCAAGCCGACGAUCUGUAGCUGGUCUGAGAGGACGAUCAGCCACACUGGGACUGAGACACGGCCCAGACUCCUACGGAGGGCAGCAGUGGGGAAUUUUGGACAAUGGGCGAAAGCCUGAUCCAGCAAUGCCGCGUGCAGGAUGAAGGCCUUCGGGUUGUAAACUGCUUUUGUACGGAACGAAAAGCCCCGGGUUAAUACCCUGGGGUCAUGACGGUACCGUAAGAAUAAGCACCGGCUAACUACGUGCCAGCAGCCGCCGUAA
rnacentral:rRNA from 1 species